rnacentral:lncRNA from 10 species
GCUCAGUGAACUUGAAAGAGAGUCAUGAGGCUUAGACAAAAAUCAUGUGCAUGGCUAAUACCUUGAUUUUAGCCUGGUGACACCUUAAGCAGAGAUCCAGCUAAACUCAUGACCAGACUCCUGCAGACCGUCAGUUAAUAAAUAAUUGUGUGUUAUGAUUGGAAAUAUGAAUUGACUUUGGAAGAGAGAAGUAAAAAGGCUGCCCUUCCAUGGCAUCCAUCAGCAUUGGUUUUGGACCUUUACCUAGCUUCCAACUGCCUUCUUCCACCAACAUUACUGUGGUAAGUAUCUUCAAACAUGUCUGUGUAUGCUGGAGAAAUAUACUCAAAAGGGGUAUUGACUGAUCGUAGGGUAUGUGUUUACGUGGUUUUAUUAGGUGCUGUCAGAUUGCUUUCUGGAAGGCUAGCUUACAUUUCAACCAGCAGUGCAGGAGAGUUCCUGUUUCUGCAUAAUCUUACUAAAACUUAGUGUUGUUUAAUUAUUUUUUUUUUUAGUUUAUUCAAUUUGAUGGCUGUAAAAUCUUACCUAAUUAGCUGUUUGAAUUUCCCCUUCUGUGACAUUCCAAUUCAUGUACUUUACCUAUUCUCUUUCAUUCUUUCUCUCCCUCAGUCUCUUUUUUCUUCUCCCUCCCUCCCUUCCUUCCUUUCUCUCUCUCGCUUCCUUCCUUUUUUAUUUUAAUUUG